UUGUGUUAUGAGUGGGGUGGAAAUGCCAUUGAAACAUUGUUCUCAUCUUUUGCGUGAUUGCGAGUUGGCGAAGUGGGUGUGCCAUGGCCAAUGAUGACUUUUUUUUCUCAAAUCAAGUGGCUGGCGGCAUUAUUCCCCAUCGAUCUGCUGGCAUAUAUGGAUCUGCUGGCCUAUAUGGAGCACUCCAAAUCAAGCUGGGGUGCAUUGAAGCAGCAGCAAGCAAUGAAGGUGUUCGUGUUUGAUGGGGUUGCCCGGAUUCAUUAAACUAAUUGUAGAAGAGGAGCUCAUAGCGUAAUCGUUGUGCAGUUUACGCUCAUUUUUUAUUGAAGCAAUUUGUGGCUGCUUGUCAAGUUUUACUCGUCAUGUUUGUGUUCGUGUCAAGGGGGACGGUUUUUUUUAUUUUUUAUUUUUUUUAUAUCAUUGACCAAGGAAAGGGAGAGGGAGAGAGAGAGAGAGAGAGAGAAGACAGAUGUGUA